GAUGCACUCACAGGUCUUUGUCAAAAUAUAAUGUGGUUUAUUUAAAUAAUAUGCAUACAGCAAGUUUAUUUUUGCUGUAUGCAUAUUAUUUAAAUAAACCACAUUAUAUUUUGACAAAGACCUGUGAGUGCAUC